AUCCUUUUAGCGUGGUAUCCAUAUGAAAUUCAUGGAUUUUUUUUCUUUUCUUGCAUAUUAAAGAUAGGACUUCCUCUAAGACCACCAAAUGACUACUUCACAUAGCUCUGUUAGGAAUUGUUGACUGAGUGGGACUGGCCAUGGGUUUUCGUUUUACACAUCUAUAUGUCUAUCGGUAUGUAAGCACUGUAGGUAUACAGGUAAAUAUAAAUUUCAAGAGACAUUUAAAAUUUCUCGUUCAAAUGUUCUUGCCACUUCCUAAUGGAAAGAAAUUGCUUCUCAUCACCCAGGCUCACCUGCUUGGUCUAGAAUGAAUCCUCCCUGGAGCCUGAAGCCAGAAGGAAACUACCACACUAAAACAUGGUCUAGGGUUCCAGAUGUUUCUCAUUUUGAACUUUCCACUGACAACUAGAGUAUUGAAUUUUUUAAGGGACAUAUGAAUGAAUACACAGGACUUAUGUCAGAGUAAUCCACUGGUUGAUUCAUUCAGCUUCCUGCUGCUGACAAUGCCACGGUUUAGAGUUAGUGAUGCUUUGAUGAAAGAGCAUCUGAAGGCAUUUUUAACUCCCAGGCAGGAGGGCUGUAGAUUCCCUCAGAGAGAGCAGACCACUCUUCAUGUAAAGGAUUGGAUAACUGUUCAUAACCUUACAGAGAGAGCUUUAUAAUUACAGCGCAGUUCUUUUCUCACAGUCAAACAGUAGUGGGUGUCUUGGUUUUCCAGUUUUGUAAGUUUUUUUCCCCAUUUCAAUGAGUUUGUAAAUGCCACAAGACAUAAUUUAAAAUAACCCUUGUGAAAAUGUGGAAGACAGUUGCCCCAUCACAUUAUGACACUUAAAAAUCCACCCAGACGCCCAGGACCCUGCGUCCCUGUUCGGCAUUUUUCUCUAUAAGUAACUCCAGGCAGGUUUGUUGAGUGGGAAUGUAAAUGGAUUCAAACGUUCCAAGAGGUACUCCAAACCCCUUUUUGGUGGCUUAGGCAGGUUAAAUAUAUAUAAGUAAACAGAAAUCAUUCGAAAGGAGGAGUACAGGCAAGAGGACUAACUGGUAGGAAAAAAGCUUUACUCUUUCAUUUUGUCUUAUUAGUCUUUCACUCUUCUUUAUCAUCCAUUCAAUAGAAAUCACCCUGUGAUCUAUCAUUUUGCAAAUCUGUUACCUCUUACAUCAAGUGUAAUUAACUUUUGGAGAGUGGGUUUUGUUCCUUAUUUUACUAAUGAUAAUUAACAUCCAACAUGGCUUCUCAUGCUAUUUCUACCUCACUUUGGUUUUGGGGUGUUCCUAAUAAUUGUGCACACCUGAUUUCACAGCUUCACCACCUGUCCAUUGUGUGAACAUUUUCCUCCAUUUUCUUUUUCCUUUAUAAUUUCCAAAAGAAAACCCAAAGCUCUAAGGUAACAAAUGACAUGAAGAUUUGAUUUUAGUCUUGGCUUUUUUUUUUUUUUUUCCUUUAUGUGACGCUGGACUUUUUCUUUACCUGAGAUUUUGGGCUUUUUCUUUUCUUUUUUUUUUUUAACCGUGAUUUAAAACAAGGAGUUACUUUACUUCCUACUAAGAAGUUUAAGUUUCAUUCUAAAAUCAGAGGUAAAUAGAAUGCGUUAUGUCAUUGUUUUCAGGUACUGGGUUCUUACUUGUGUAUCGUAAUAUAUU
rnacentral:lncRNA from 1 species